CAGCGGUGGAUAUCUUGGCUCUUGCCUCGAUGACGAACGCAGCAAGGCGCGAUAGGUAGUGUGACAUGCGGCAUUCCGUGAAUCAUCAACUCUUCGAACGCAAUCGGCGCGCUUUCUAUUUAAAAAGAAGCGCGUGCCCGUUUGA
rnacentral:rRNA from 2 species